UACAUGGCAGGAAGACCGCGCAGAGGUCCAGCGAACUGCCGGCAAGACCGGCGGAUCAGACUGGAGGACGGUCUAUCUCGACGGUGCGUUGAAAGAAAAGUGAAUGGUGAUCAGCCUCGGAAGUAGAGUGAUCCCCCUACAGGACCAGACGAUUGUCCAUAUCCACUGUAUAGAGAAACAAGAAAUGUUGGAGUGUUUUCUAUGACACGUUUUAUCCCCUGGACAGCCUACAGUUCAGCAUCGACGGAUUGCCGACAGGAUCAGAGGAUUGUCCACAUCGACAAUGUCGAGAAACAAGAAGCGUUGAAUGAUCAGCCUCAAAAGAUCACUGCCACUCAUCACUUUUCGUCAAGAAGACACUGGGGUAAUCAGUAAGUCUACCACGUAAGGUCAAAGGACAAACAGCUGGCAGUGUUUAUUUGAUCCACUGAGUAUAUAUUUUACAGCAUCAUUGACGCAGUAAUGGCAACUCAGCACU